rnacentral:rRNA from 1 species
CCUACGGGUGGCUGCAGUGGGGAAUAUUGCACAAUGGGCGAAAGCCUGAUGCAGCAACGCCGCGUGAGCGAUGAAGGCCUUCGGGUCGUAAAGCUCUGUCCGCAAGGAAGAUAAUGACGGUACUUGAGGAGGAAGCCCUGGCAAACUACGGCCCAGCAGACGCGGUAAUACGUAGUGGGCUAGCGUGAGCCGGAAUUACUGGUCGAAAGGGGUGCGGGGGUGGUUUUUUAAGUCAGAGGUGAAAGGCUACGGCUAAACCGUAGUAAGCCUUUGAAACUGGGGAACUUGAGUGCAGGAGAGGAGAGUGGAAUUCCUGGUGUAGCGGUGAAAUGCGUAGAUAUCAGGAGGAACACCGGUGGCGAAGGCGGCCUGCUGGA